rnacentral:misc_RNA from 1 species
UUUCCGUAGGUGAACCUGCGGAAGGAUCAUUAUUGUAUAACCGAGGUGCGAGGGCUGUCGCUGACCCGAAAGGUCGUGCACGCCCGAGUGCCCUCACACGCAUCCAUCUCACCCCUAUGUGCACCACCGCGUGGGUCCCCCUUUGGCUUGUUCGGAGGGGGGCUUACGUUUUCACACAAUCUUUGUAUGCAGUGUAGAAUGUAUUUUUUGUUUUUGCGAUCACGCAAUCAAUACAACUUUCAACAACGGAUCUCUUGGCUCUC